GUGGGGAAUAUUGGACAAUGGGCGAAAGCCUGAUCCAGCCAUGCCGCGUGUGUGAAGAAGGUCUUCGGAUUGUAAAGCACUUUAAGUUGGGAGGAAGGGCAGUAAGUUAAUACCUUGCUGUUUUGACGUUACCAACAGAAUAAGCACCGGCUAACUUCGUGCCAGCAGCCGCGGUAAUACGAAGGGUGCAAGCGUUAAUCGGAAUUACUGGGCGUAAAGCGCGCGUAGGUGGUUCAGCAAGUUGAAGGUGAAAUCCCCGGGCUCAACCUGGGAACUGCCUCCAAAACUACGGAGCUAGAGUACGGUAGAGGGUAGUGGAAUUUCCUGUGUAGCGGUGAAAUGCGUAGAUAUAGGAAGGAACACCAGUGGCGAAGCCGACUACCUGGACUGAUACUGACACUGAGGUGCGAAAGCGUGGGGAGCAAACAGGAUUAGAAACCCGUGUAGUCC
rnacentral:rRNA from 1 species